CAUUGACCCGUCUAGUAACACGGACCAAGGAGUCUCACAUAUGUGCGAGUAUAGGGGUGGCAAACCCCCAUGCGUAAUGAAAGUAACAGUGGUGGGACCGUUUUCGGGCACCAUCCGCCGGCCUUCUGACUUCGGUCUAUCGGUCUGAGUGUGAGCAUACAUGUGGGGACCCGAAAGAUGGUGAACUAUGCCUG
rnacentral:rRNA from 1 species